ACACAGAGGAGUUUAGGUCUUCCCACGUAUCGAUGUCAUUUUGGUUCGUAAUGUUGUAAUUGUCUCACUACGAACCAGAAUGACAUCGCGUUGUUCGAAGACAUUUGAUGCUGGAACCAC
rnacentral:precursor_RNA from 12 species